UCAAUGGACGCAAGUCUGAACCAGCCAUGCCGCGUGAAGGAUGAAGGUCCUCUGGAUUGUAAACUUCUUUUAUCUGGGACGAAACCGGGCUUUUUAUCUCAAUUGACGGUACCAGAGGAAUAAGCACCGGCUAACUCCGUGCCAGCAGCCGCGGUAAUACGGAGGGUGCGAGCGUUAUCCGGAUUUACUGGGUUUAAAGGGUGCGUAGGUGGGCUUAUAAGUCAGUGGUGAAAUCUCCGAGCUUAACUUGGAAACUGCCGUUGAUACUAUAGGUCUUGAAUUAUCUGGAGGUAAGCGGAAUAUGUCAUGUAGCGGUGAAAUGCUUAGAUAUGACAUAGAACACCAAUUGCGAAGGCAGC
rnacentral:rRNA from 1 species